rnacentral:rRNA from 1 species
GGAGUUAGCCGGUGCUUCUUCUGCGAGUAACGUCACAGAUGUAAGGUAUUAACUUACACCCUUUCCUCCUCGCUGAAAGUGCUUUACAACCCGAAGGCCUUCUUCACACACGCGGCAUGGCUGCAUCAGGGUUUCCCCCAUUGUGCAAUAUUCCCCACUGCUGCCUCCCGUAGGAGUCUGGGCCGUGUCUCAGUCCUAGUGUGGCUGAUCAUCCUCUCAGACCAGCUAGGGAUCGUCGCCUAGGUGAGCCUUUACCUCACCUACUAGCUAAUCCCACCUGGGCUUAUCCAUCAGCGCAAGGCCCGAAGGUCCCCUGCUUUCCCCCGUAGGGCGUAUGCGGUAUUAGCAGUCGUUUCCAACUGUUAUCCCCCACAAAUGGGCAAAUUCCCAGGCAUUACUCACCCGUCCGCCGCUCGUCAUCUUCAAAAGCAAGCUUUUGAAAUGUUACCGCUCGACUUGCAUGUGUUAGGCCUGCCGCCAGCGUUCAAUCUGAGCCAUAAUCAAACUCUGA